CGGCCUCUGAGGCGCCGAUUCCACACGCCGGCCUUGUGCCCCGGCCCGGCUAGGCCAACCGCGCAGGCGCAGUCCCCGCGCGCCGGCCUGGUCCCCGGGCCGGACUGGGAGACCGCACAGGCGCAGUCCCGGCGUGCCGGCCCCGCCCCCGGGCCCGCAGGCGGGUGGGCUGCCGUGGGGUCUGCGGGCGGUGGCCGGCUCCGCGGCCUGCGCGGCGCCCCUGGCCCCGCAGCUGGUGGCCUCCUGCCCGCGGUGCCCGGCGCCCAGCCUGCCCAGCAGCAGAGCCGCGGAAGCCCGGGGCAGGGAGCCCACCUGCGGGGGGCGCGGGGCCGAGCUGCCCGCGGGGCCCGGGGCUCGCCUUACCCUGGAGCCGCGCGGAGCGUCUCCCUUCGUGCGCGGGGCUGCGAGGGCUGCCGCGGCUUCGUGGCCGUGCGUCUAAGCCCUUAAGUCUUAAGACGAUAAGGCGCUUCCGCGCGCGGCCCACUCACUGCAGCACAGGGAUUAAAACAAGCCCUGCGGGGUCCGGGCGAGACCCCCCGGGCGGCGCCCUCCCCUGGGCCGGCCCCGGGGUGGGUGCGCCCCGCACGUGGGAUGUGCCGUUUCCACACAGGUCGCGCCCGCUGAAUGUACGUUGUUGGAGGCCGCAGCUUGCGUCGUGCGGACGUGAGACAAGCGUGCACUUUACGAGGCUAACCGAUGAGUGGCUGGAGCAAAAUCAAAAUAAGAAUGAUAUUUCAUGACGCGUGGACAUUACAGGAGAUUGAAACGUCGGUGUCCUGACGGAGUCGUCCUGGAGCACAGCCAGUUCGCUGGCUCACGCCCGGCCGGCGGCAGCCUUCGCAACGCACAGGCCAAGUUCAGGAGGCGAAACGGACACGUGACGGCAACAGCCAGGAAUAUUUGCUCUCUAGCCCUUUGCAGAAAAAGUGGUGGACUCCUGCUCUGGAUGAAUGAACUCCAUUCUGCCUCCGCCCUGCUGUGGUCACCUGUCCGCUGACACCCUCGGGCGACUGUCUCACUCAAAGCCAGAGUUCUUACAGUCGCGGUGAGCAGGCCCACACUGCCCUCCCUCCCUGACUUGGCUCCAGCCACACUGUCCUCUGUGCCUCACCUCAGGGCCUUGGCGCUGCCUGUUCCCUCCGACUAGAAUGCUUUUCCUCAACUGGGGCCACCUCGCCCCUCACCUCUUCAUAUCUUCGCCCAAAUGUCACCGUACUAGGGAAGCUCUCUCUGACCGUUCUCUGUGAGGCACGUCUGUCCCUCCCCUGCCUCCCGGCCUCCGGCGGCCCCCCUGAGUACAGUUCACACUCUGAGAGCAUAGGGCCUUUGUCAUUUGCACCAUGUGUGACGCCCAGCAGGAGAAGACCAAGCAGGUCCUGAGUCGUGGCAGAAGAUGUUGACUGAGUCCCCACGACUCCCAGGAGCCAAGCUAGGUGUGGACAUGAAAGGUUCCCCUUUCGGAAUGGCAGUCACUCUUCCCUGGGGGACUGACUUACCAAGUCCACCCUCCCUCAUGCAGGUCAGCAGGUGUGGCUCACUUGGACCCUUCCUAGAAUGAUUGAGUACCUACAGCGGCCGUGUAACUUAAUGCCUGAGCGGGACACGCUGGCCGUGAAGUCGAGUGCUACUGACCGCGAAGCCAGCACCAGCAUAAACUGGAGCUGUCCCAGCGAGUCAGGAUGUGUGGUGGCCGCAGUGAACAGCUGUGUCCAUUCAUGUAAUAAAUCUUUGAUGAGCACUUUC